UGCGUAGGUGGUUUCUUAAGUCAGGAGUGAAAGGCUACGGCUCAACCGUAGUAAGCUCUUGAAACUGGGAAACUUGAGUGCAGGAGAGGAAAGUGGAAUUCCUAGUGUAGCGGUGAAAUGCGUAGAUAUUAGGAGGAACACCAGUAGCGAAGGCGGCUUUCUGGACUGUAACUGACACUGAGGCACGAAAGCGUGGGGAGGCAAACA
rnacentral:rRNA from 1 species